AGAGUUUGAUCCUGGCUCAGGACGAACGCUGGCGGCGUGCUUAACACAUGCAAGUCGAACGGUAAGGCCCUUCGGGGUACACGAGUGGCGAACGGGUGAGUAACACGUGGGUAAUCUGCCCUGCACAUCGGGAUAAGCCUGGGAAACUGGGUCUAAUACCGAAUAGGACCACAGGACACAUGUCCUGUGGUGGAAAGCUUUUGCGGUGUGGGAUGGGCCCGCGGCCUAUCAGCUUGUUGGUGGGGUGAUGGCCUACCAAGGCGACGACGGGUAGCCGGCCUGAGAGGGUGUCCGGCCACACUGGGACUGAGAUACGGCCCAGACUCCUACGGGAGGCAGCAGUGGGGAAUAUUGCACAAUGGGCGAAAGCCUGAUGCAGCGACGCCGCGUGGGGGAUGACGGCCUUCGGGUUGUAAACCUCUUUCACCAUCGACGAAGGUCAGGGUUUUCUCGGGCUGACGGUAGGUGGAGAAGAAGCACCGGCCAACUACGUGCCAGCAGCCGCGGUAAUACGUAGGGUGCGAGCGUUGUCCGGAAUUACUGGGCGUAAAGAGCUCGUAGGUGGUUUGUCGCGUUGUUCGUGAAAUCUCACGGCUUAACUGUGAGCGUGCGGGCGAUACGGGCAGACUUGAGUACUGCAGGGGAGACUGGAAUUCCUGGUGUAGCGGUGGAAUGCGCAGAUAUCAGGAGGAACACCGGUGGCGAAGGCGGGUCUCUGGGCAGUAACUGACGCUGAGGAGCGAAAGCGUGGGGAGCGAACAGGAUUAGAUACCCUGGUAGUCC
rnacentral:rRNA from 1 species